rnacentral:lncRNA from 1 species
UAUAGUUAUGGACUUAGACAUUAAUCCAACAGUCUCCCACUUGGAUAAGUCUAAAACUAUUAUUGCGUAUGACUUCAGGAACCAACUGGCAAUCGUAGCUCUCAAAAGCUUCUGUCGAACUCUGACCUUGUAGAUGAACUCUGACCUUUGUCAAUGACUUGUCCAUUAGAUAAGGGAUCAUAUAUUCCUCCAUUCUAGAUAUCAUAUGGACUGAGACAUGGAUUAUAAUCAUUCUCUCUGUCCAUUUGUUGUUUCCCGAUUUCCGAUUUAUGACGACUGACUAAUUGAACAAAUCAAAUCAGUCCUGGCCCGGCCGAGCACUUCCAUUUGUCAUCAUCAAAUCAUCGAGGGGCCCACAUAUAUCGCUUUUAUCCCGAAGGUAAAAGGAAUGGAUAAACUUCGACUCAUAUGGCUUGUUCUACUACUUGUUGAAUCAUACACAAAGGCACGUUUUAUAACACUGAGUUACCGAAUGCGUUUUCGUGCAAUCAAUGUACAACCAACUCAUAGUAACAACUCAUAUCUCUAGGUUUGAAGAAUAUAUGAUAUUAUCGUCUCAUGAUCACUCGUGAUAAAAUCCAUGAAGUGAUUCCAAUGAGCGCGUGUUGAAUCCAAUACUCAGAACUUAUGAGCACUCAUGGGUGUUGUAGCCAUUUGUCCAACACCUUAGACCUCUACAAGCUAACCCAUGAUAGUCUUAAUUCAUAUCUACUUUCAACAUAUGAUCGACUGUGGAUGGUUCGAAUAACUUAGUCAUUCCGGAAGAAUAACCUAGUUUAUUCUGGAAGUCAAAACAUGCAAAAUGAAACACAAUAAUAAUCGAAUCCAAUAUGGUCUCAGAACUUAUGAAUAUAAAUAAAACACCUUUUAUUUAUCACCAUAUGAUUACACAAUAUCCAUUGUAUACUGUUUCAGCUAUCAACAUUAUUCUUGAAUUUAAAAGAAUAGUUGUCCCAUGCUCCAAGCAUGUACACUAUGUUUUCUAAACACUAGUCAUGCCAUACACCAACUAUGCAUACUAUGUUUGUCUAUGAUCUUUACUUUCUGAAAUAGAUUAACUGAACAUAACUCCAAUGAUCCGUUUUCACAAUCCCAAAUCCUUACUGCAAAUGCAUGAAUUCCAAACUCAUGCUAUUUACUGAAAUCUGGUAGAUUCUAAACUUAUAUGCAUUGAUCUUCUUGUAAUGAUUAUGCACAACUUCACAAAGACUUGGCACCAAUCAUUACAGAGUAUUCCAAAGGGGAUCAGCUCCUUGGAAACAAUGCGCUUUCGUGCAAUCAAUGUACUACCAACUCAUAGUAAGAACUCAUAUCUCUAGGUUUGAAGAAUAUAAGAUAUUAUCGUCUCAUGAUCACUCGUGAUAAAAUCCAUGAAGUGAUUCCAAUGAGCGCGGGUUGAAUCCAAUACUCAAAACUUAUGAGCACUCAUGAGUGUUGUAGCCCUUUGUCCAACACCUUAGACCUCUACAAGCCAACCCAUGACAGUCUUAAUUCAUAUCUACUUCCAACAUAUGACCGACUGUGGAUGGUUUGAAUAACUUAGUCAUUCCGGAAGAAUAACCUAGUUUAUUCGGGAAGUCAAAACAUGCAAAAUGAAACACAAUAAUAAUCGAAUCCAAUAUGGUAUCAAAACCUAUGAACAUAAAUAAAACACCUUUUAUUUAUCACCAUAUGAUUACACAUUAUUCAUUGUAUACUGUUUCAGCUAUCAACUUUAUUCUUGAAUUUAAAACAAUAGUUGUCCCAUGCUCCAAGCAUGUACACUAUGUUUUCUAAACACUAGUCAUGCCAUACACCAAGUAUGCAUACUAUGUUUGUCUAUGAUCUUUACUUUGUGAACUAGAUCAAUUGAACAUAACUUCAAUGAUUCUCUUUUCACACUCCCAAAUCCUUACUGCAAAUGCAAGAAUUCC